rnacentral:lncRNA from 1 species
UCUAGACGAUGCUGCAGGUCCUUCACCGUCUGCUCCAGGUUCUUCUUCAUCCGCUCCAGGUGGGCGCUGGUAUCCUUCACGGUCUGCUCCAUGUUCUUCUUCAUCCGCUCCAGUUUCUGGAUCUGCUUCUUCCCACCCUUCAGGGCCAGCUGCUCAGCCUCAUCCAGACGAUGCUGCAGGUCCUUCACCGUCUGUUCCAGGUUCUUCUUCAUCCGCUCAAGCCCGAGGGCAGCAGGAAGGAGACGCCUUACGUCCGUGAUGGCCUUCUUGGCCUUCUC